GUGGGGAAUAUUGGACAAUGGGCGCAAGCCUGAUCCAGCCAUGCCGCGUGAGUGAUGAAGGCCUUAGGGUUGUAAAGCUCUUUCGUCAGGGAAGAUAAUGACGGUACCUGAAGAAGAAGCCCCGGCUAACUUCGUGCCAGCAGCCGCGGUAAUACGAAGGGGGCUAGCGUUGCUCGGAAUCACUGGGCGUAAAGCGCACGUAGGCGGCUUUCUAAGUCAGGGGUGAAAUCCUGGAGCUCAACUCCAGAACUGCCUUUGAUACUGGAGAGCUUGAGUUCGGGAGAGGUGAGUGGAACUGCGAGUGUAGAGGUGAAAUUCGUAGAUAUUCGCAAGAACACCAGUGGCGAAGGCGGAUCACUGGCCCGAUACUGACGCUGAGGUGCGAAAGCGUGGGGAGCAAACAGGAUUAGAAACCCCAGUAGUCC
rnacentral:rRNA from 1 species